AGGCAUGCCAUCAGAGAGCUCCUUCUGCCUGGGCUGCUCUUUGGGUUCUCCAGAGGACUAAAACCAGCUUGAUUGCAUGCUACAUGUGGCUUAACAGCAUAGAUGCAGGAUUACCAAGAAACUGAGCAGGGUUGUAUCAGUCACCUCUUUCAUCUGCCAAGGGUACUUUGUGCAGUCGUAGACAGGGAAGGGAAAUGCUCAUGUCACAAAGCACUGAGGGAAGGUGGCAUGGGUGAUGCUGGCUGCUCCUUUCAAGCUUGGACCUAAUUUGCAGGCUGAAAUGCACUGCGCAGUGCAGGAUAUCUCGACCCAAGCUGCCUCUGGAGUGACUCUGGUGUGUGAUAAGCAGAGAUAGCUGUUAAUUUUUGAGGUGGUGUGGAUGAUGCUGGCUGUACUGUUGGAGCUUGGACUCAGAGAGGAACAGGUGAGCACAAUCAUAUGUUGCAUCAAUAGUAAUCAGCAUUGUGGAGAAGGUGGGCAUUGGGGCUGGCAUGCUACUGAAUGCUGAUACUCUGUUUUUGCAGCUGAUGAUGAGCCUGGCAAUUGACUAAGAUGACAAUCAGUGCCUGUGCAUUUCUUGAGGUGGAGGGAAUUCACCAUCCAGCAAUCUGAGAGCUAAACUGGGGAGCACCUGAUAUUUGCAUAUCUGGGGUGGCUAAUGGGAGCUGGGAGCCAGAGCAACAUGGAGCCAGCUGGCUGAAGAUACUUGGUGCCACUGUGAGGGUGGUCCAGGCUGGGUCAUGUUCAGGCUGCUUGUGGCUGGGUCAGCAGGCUAACAGAAGAAGUGGGAUUAUUUUGUAGCGUGAGUGUGCGCGCCAGGCAGGACAGUUUCCUUCUGUUUGUCUGUCCUGUAGUGUUGCUUCUGCAAUGUUUGUUCUGUGCUUCUUAGGUCUUGAUAUCCUCCUAGCUUUUUACACUGGACUGACUAGACAAGCGACUUGGAAGCUGUCCUGAAGGGCCUCAAUGCUUGUUUUGUCAUCAUGGCUCUGAUCUGAGCAUUUCUUGUCUUGCAGUUGCUGCUUGAAGUGCAGAUCUCUUUCAGGUCUUGUGCAUCACAUUCGGUUUGAGAUCGCAUGUUUCCAUCCUCACUCUUGCAGAAGUCAUCUGGGCUGAGCACCAAGAGCAACAGCACAGGCAACACAGAACACAGAUGACAAGCUGGGACUGCCCUGCCUGGCAUGGCUUCAUGCUGUACGUGACACAACUGCCUACACAUCAUCUCUCUGCCUGACCUGAUGAAUCCUGAAAGGCCCCAUCUGCUGCAGUGACUUAAAAGCACAGACCCGCACCCUAUGGGUGCAUUCACAACCCCAACUCAAACAUAGCACUUGCCCCCCAACUUAGCUUGGUAAUGCUGGGAAGCAUGUUCCAUCCUCACCAAGGAACACAAAGGCUAGCCAGGACAUUGCUUCAGGCACAAGGCUCCUCUUCACCUGCAGAAAUAAAAUCCCAUCAAGCGCCAGCACACCAGCCAAAUUUCUUUCAGUGAAACACCCUCCUCAGAAACAAAACAGUAGUCAACCGACCUGCUCCGCUAUUGAAAUCAGAUAGACACCCUCCAGACAACUCCCCGCCUCCCCCUGCCAACCACUCCCCAACACACAGGAUUUCCACCUCAACUUAAUUCUCAGGGCUCAGAAUCCACCAUCAAUGUGGACCACAGAGGCCAGCUAGGAUGUUACCAGUACCUUCUUCGUCCCUGCAAAAGAGGAGUCACCCAGAGGUGCACCAAGAGACUACUACACCAAAAACAAUACCUGUUUUCCAACUUUUCACCACUCACCUUCCCAACCCAGGCUGAGCACUUCCAUUCAGUGUGCCAAGCCAAGGUCACGGGGCUUACACCAGGGAGAAAGAACAGACAAACGUGACAAUCCACAAAACAGUCUAUACCCACUCUUCUUUCCUCCCCUACUGCAACAGCCAAGAAGCUCCAGAGCCACAUGCCCCAAGCCAGUACCACCACUUCGCUCACCUAACAUCCCAAGGAGAUACAUCAUGCUCCCAGCUCCUCUUGCGCUCUGAGCAUCUCCAGCAUUUCAGGAACUGGAACCGCUGACAUCUGGCAUUCCUCAGAAAUGUGGCAGGAGACAUACUCCGCUGUUGCAAGGCGCUUGCAAAGCCAGCCCAACAUGAAACUGACUAACACAGUCCACCGAACAACUCAGGGUCCCCUCUGCUGUCCACUCACCCUCAAGCUUCAUUUAAGUUUCCAUGUCUAUGCCCUGGGCUACAAGAAACAAAGAGACAAGGUCACAUCCACAAUGGACACGCAAACAGUAAAGCUCCUUGCAGAGGACUCAAACACAGAGACCAGAGCCAGAUAAAUAAAAAAAACACCCUGAAUUCCACAAAUGCCAAAAGGUCAUGAAUGCACAGCAGCCCCAACAGAGGUAGUCACAGACUUAUCUUUCACAGACAAAAAAGGCAACCCUGCUCAGUCUAUUUGGUCAUACUGCACCUACAAGGUCAAGCCUCUUGUAGCAUGUAAGCAAGCUGGUUUUAGUCCUCUAGAGAGUUACACAAGUGGGUUGAUUCAUCUAGAGAUUCAAGUAUAGCUCAAAAACAGAAGAGUGUCCCACCAUCCCAAAAAACAGUGAGCCAGCAGCCUCUACUAAAUAUCCUUCUAUUAAGUGAAUCGCAAGCACUUAGAAAUCUAGAAAACCAUAGAUUCCAGCAUGCCUAGAGAACCCUGCAACUGACUGAAGGAAAAUCAAAGCACUUACCCCAAAGAGCAGCCCAGGCAGAAAGAGCUAUCUGAUGGCAUGCCUGGGGUUCAUAUACCUUUUGGUCCCACCCAGCACCCAAACCCAAUCACCUGGGAAAGGGGAGGGACAAAGCACAAGAAAGUAGAAAGAGAAAGAGAGUAGCAGCAGCUGUGGUUUAUUUACUUUUUUAUAAGGCUUAGCUCAACAGCAUGCAGAGUGCAGAGAAGAGACCUGGAGUGUUUCUAGAAGCAACAAUCCCCAUGCUUUUGGUGCAGCUUUGAAUAUUAAAGGGACAAUACAACCAAGCAAGUAACUCUAAAAGACAAAGAGGGGAUGCUCAGAGUAACAGUGAGACCUGCAACACAACAACUGCUACAUCUGUUCCUCACUCACCUUGCCAGAGGCAGCUUUGGGUGUGACGUCCCAGGUUGUACACUGCAUUUCAGCUUUAUUAAAUGAAAACAGUCACAAGAUAAUCAUACAGGUACCAGCAUUAGCAUCAUCCCUCAACAACACAAGGGACCCCAUUUACAACAUUAUCGUUUCGAAACAGCGGACAACUUGCCUCAGCACCUCAGAAGUAGACCAAGCCAGUCACUGAGCUGCCGAAUGAGAGCUUGACAAUUCUGGAAGGCGUUCUUUCCUUUGGCUGCUUCCUCCUGAGGUUUAUCUAAGGCUU